UACUUUUUGGUCUAUCAGCCGCCCCCCCCCUUUUUUUUUAAUAAUUUCUGAUCACCUCUGUGCCGGCCCCAAUAAAGGACCCAGUGGCCUGAACUUCAAAGAGCUUACAGGAGGGUGGGAGCAUUAGAAUAGUUUAGGCCAUGCCCAGGGAGCAAAAACCCCCAAAGUCUCAGUGUCUUAACAUAACAAAGGCUUAUCCUGCAAAUGAUUCCUAUGAAGGUCUGCUCUCCUCCACAGAAGCGCUCAGGGGCUCGGACUUCUGGCUACCUUGGUCACUGCAGCAGGAGGAGAAAAAGCUGGAAGGGGGGUCAAGCACCCACCCAGAAGUGAAUCCCGGCACUUCUGGCAUCUCACCGAACAGAAUUAGUCACGUGGCCCUGCCUAACCUCAAGGAGGUGCAUGCAGGAAGCAUAUGCAGAAAGGAGAGAAAAAUGGAUAGAGUCUGACAUUAUGAGACUACUCUGCAAAACCUUCACACUGAGCUUUGUCUCGAAGAUAGCCUUCGGAGCAGUAAUCAGGCCUCCAUUAACUACAGCAGGAAGGGGGACAGCUGUGGAACUAAAGGCAUGCAUCUGGGGAUCCAGGAAGCAUUGGGGAACCCACCAGCACCUGGUAAAGCUUGGGACCCGGGCCAGGUCCAGAGUAAGGACCCCAGCACCUAAGGAGUCCGGUUCUAGAAAGACUGAGUUACUGAGGCAGGCUACCAAAGUGGGGACUCAUGUGGUACAGGGUGAAGAACAUUACCCAGCUUUAGCAGUCCAGGCAGGGAUUUGUUAUCACAUCCAUGGCUUGUUUUCUAGAGCUGAGGCUUAAUAAUAUCUGAGUCCCAGAAGCAAGAGUAACUCUAUGCUAAGUGGCAGGAAAUUAAAAUUGAGCCAUUGACGUCUCUCCAGCUAAAGUCAGGCACACCAGACCCAUAAUUUUGUCCGCCCACCUCCCCCCAUCCCACCCCACCCCCAGGUGGUGAACCCUCUGCCCAGUUACCUUCCCCCCCGACCCCACCUAAACAUGGCUUCUACAGAAUCAUCAACUGUUUUGUAUAACAUAACCAGUUUUUCCCCCUUGGCCCCAGUUAACCAGUCCAAGGGGAACAUCUGACCAAAGAUAGGCCGACGAGGGCCCUUCCUCGAGAUAUUUAACUUGGGAAGCAUGGUGACUUCAGUAGACCCCAUCAAUGCCCAGUACAUAUACCCUCACCUUUACUCUCUGUUCUGACUUCAUAUGAUGAAUUUUCUUUAAUGGAUUCUCUUCUGCAAUCCAUUGGCCAAGAGAUUCUCCGAAUGGGUAAUGUGCCAUUGGUAACCUGAUGUGCUGCUUUUUCACUUAGGCCCAAAAGCCAAAAGAUCAAGAAUUUUGUCGUUUUAUUCAUUGGGUUUCACACAGCUUCUUUUGGAGCGGCUUCAUUUUGAAGCCAAAGGGUUCCUUUCAACACUACAGCUCUCUCCCCAGCCUCCAGAAUCUUUCCUGAAUCCAGAACAGCUGAGUGGCCCUUUUUAUAUCAGAUACUGGGCCAAACCUUCCCUGAUUUCAGUUAAACUCCUUAAGCUAGGAAUUAGGUGAACAUAGAGUAAGCUGUCUUUUUAAAGAAACAGACUGAUUCUGACCUAGAACCAUAUUUAGCUAUUUUUGUGCCGUGCGCUUAUUUAGUAGAUUGUAAACUUCUGUUACUAUUUUGUUAGUUUGAGAGAGAGAGUGUGUGCAAGUUGGGGGGUGGGGUAGAAUGAGAAAGAAUCUUAAGCAGGCUCCAUGCUCCGUGAAGAUCCCUGGGAUCAUGACCUGAGCUGAAAUCAAGAGUUGGACGCUCAAUCGACUGAGCCACCCAGGCAUCCCUGUAAACUUUUGGAGAAGUGUUGGGUAUCUUUGUUUCCCUUGGCUCCUAACACUUAGUCAAUAUUCAAUAAAUCUGAGUUCAAUACAUAAAUGAAUCA
rnacentral:lncRNA from 1 species